rnacentral:tRNA from 1 species
GGGAUAAUAGUUAAAACUAUAACAUUUAAAUUGCAAUUAAAAAAUACUAUAAAUUAAUAGUUUAUCUCA